CUCUCGAUAGCUCAGCUGGAAGAGCGCAAGACUGUAAAUCUUGAGGCCCGCGGUUCGAUCCCGCGUCGGGAGA
rnacentral:tRNA from 3 species